GCCAACCUAUCUAUUGCUGCAAGCUAUCCCUCGCUGCUAAUCUAUCGCUGCCAACCUAUCUACCGCGGCGAAUCUAUCUAUCACUGCCAAUUUAUCUACCACUGCCAAUCUAUCUAUCGCUGCCAAUCUAUUGCUGCUAAUCUAUCGCUGCUAAUCUAUCGCCGCUGCCAAUCUAUCCCUCACUGCUAAGCUAUCCCUCGCUGCUAAGCUAUCCCUCGCUGCUAAGCUAUCCCUCACUGCUAAGGUAUCCCUCGCUGCUAAGCUAUCCCUCACUACUAAGCUAUCUAUCACUGCUAAUCUAUCGCUGCCAAUCUAUCUAUCACUGCCAAUCUAUCUAUCACUGCUAAUCUAUCGCUGCCAAUCUAUCUAUCACUGCCAAUCUAUCUAUCGCUGCCAAUCUAUCGCUGCUAAUCUACCACUGCCAAUCUAUCUAUGGCUGCUAAUCUAUCGCUGCUAAUCUAUCGCUGCCAACCUAUCCAUCGCUGCCAAUUUAUCUACCACUGCCAAUCUAUCUAUCGCUGCUAAUCUAUCGCUGCUAAUCUAUUGCUGCUAAUCUAUUGCUGCUGCCAAUCUAUCUAUCACUGCUAAUCUAUUGCUGCUAAUCUAUCACUGCUAAUCUAUCGCUGCUAAUCUAUCGCUGCUAAUCUAUCGCUGCUAAUCUAUCGCUGCCAACCUAUCUACCGCGGCGAAUCUAUCUAUUGCUGCCAAUCAACCUACCACUGCCAACCUAUCUAUUGCUGCCAAUCUAUCGCUGCCAACCUAUCUACCGCGGCGAAUCUAUCUAUCACUAUCAUUACUAGUUCAAAAUAGAACUAGAGCAUAAAUACACUAAACUUCUUUUGAUAGGUAAUGAUUUUUGAUAACACUCAUAGCAUUAUAUCAUCUAUAUAGGGUAAAUCAUGGUCCCAUUUGGUCCCAUUUUAACAAAAUGAGACCAAAUGAGAUCAGAAUCAGUAAUUUAUAAGAAUAACAUGACCUGAGACUAGAUUUAUAAUAUAAACAGUGUAAAGUGACUAAUUUAAUAAACACUAUAUGAGACCAGGACUAAGAAAUUUGAUAAUGGAACUGAAGAAAUAUUUAGUCCCAGUCUCAUACAUGGUCACACAGCC
rnacentral:sRNA from 1 species